rnacentral:misc_RNA from 1 species
ACAAACUUGGUCAUUUAGAGGAAGUAAAAGUCGUAACAAGGUUUCCGUAGGUGAACCUGCGGAAGGAUCAUUAGCGUAAGAAGAGAAGGGUCGAAAGACCCCCUUUCUCACUACCACCAUGUGAACGAGAACGUGUCUCUGCGGCUGGAGGCGCGUAGCGCGCGCGCGCGCGCAGGAGGAGAAAUUCUCUCUGACACGCCGCGCGCGCGCGCGCCGCCAGCAUGCAUCUCGAAACCGUUGACAAAUAACACACACAUCCCCCUUUAAUACACACAACCAAACACACAACUUUUAACAAUGGAUCUCUAGGCUCCUGCAUCGAUGAAGAACGCAGC